rnacentral:tRNA from 1 species
AAACUUAGGAUAAUACAUAAACCAAAG